CUCGCUUUGCGGCCUUUUGGGUGAAGAGUGAAUGUAGUAUCUGUUUCUUAUCUGCUCAAUAACCGAUACCUCUCUCUGAGGACAAUAUAGUAAAUUGAUUUUUGGAACUGGGAGUUGGAAUAGGGAGCUUGCUCUGUCCACUCCACGCAUCGACCUGAUGAUACAGUACCUCCAGGAAGAGUGCACCAAAA